CCUACGGGUGGCUGCAGUGGGGAAUAUUGGACAAUGGGGGGAACCCUGAUCCAGCCAUGCCGCGUGUGUGAAGAAGGCCCUCGGGUUGUAAAGCACUUUCAGUGAGGAAGAACGCCUGGUGGUUAAUACCCAUCAGGAAAGACAUCACUCACAGAAGAAGCACCGGCUAACUCCGUGCCAGCAGCCGCGGUAAUACGGAGGGUGCGAGCGUUAAUCGGAAUUACUGGGCGUAAAGCGCGCGUAGGUGGCUUGAUAAGCCGGUUGUGAAAGCCCCGGGCUCAACCUGGGAACGGCAUCCGGAACUAUCAAGCUAGAGUGCAGGAGAGGAAGGUAGAAUUCCCGGUGUAGCGGUGAAAUGCGUAGAGAGCGGGAGGAAUACCAGUGGCGAAGGCGGCCUUCUGGACUGACACUGACACUGAGGUGCGAAAGCGUGGGUAGCAAACAGGAUUAGAUACCCCAGUAGUC
rnacentral:rRNA from 1 species